rnacentral:tRNA from 1 species
GCGGCAGUGGUGUAAUGGCGUACAGCAUUCCUGCCCUGUCAGCAGGAGGUGUGGGUACGAAUCCCGCCUGGCGCU